GAGGAAUAUUGGUCAAUGGACGCAAGUCUGAACCAGCCAUGCCGCGUGCAGGAAGACGGCUCUAUGAGUUGUAAACUGCUUUUGUACUAGGGUAAACGCUCUUACGUGUAGGAGCCUGAAAGUAUAGUACGAAUAAGGAUCGGCUAACUCCGUGCCAGCAGCCGCGGUAAUACGGAGGAUCCAAGCGUUAUCCGGAUUUAUUGGGUUUAAAGGGUGCGUAGGCGGUUUGGUAAGUUAGAGGUGAAAUACCGGGGCUCAACUCCGGAACUGCCUCUAAUACUGUUGAAUUAGAGAGUAGUUGCGGUAGGCGGAAUGUAUGGUGUAGCGGUGAAAUGCUUAGAGAUCAUACAGAACACCGACUGCGAAGGCAGCUUACCAAACUAUAUCUGACGUUGAGGCACGAAAGCGUGGGGAGCAAACAGGAUUAGAUACCCUGGUAGUCCCACGCAGUAAACGAUGAUAACUCGUUGUCGGCGAUA
rnacentral:rRNA from 1 species